AUGGACUCCCUCCCGCCGCCCGCGCCACCGUACGCCGGGGACCCCCUCGCCGUCACCAUCCCCCCGCCGCCAUUGCCGUCGCCGCCUCCGCCGCCUUCCUCCUCGCUCAACCUCUCCCCGUCGCUCCUCAUCAUCGCGGCCCUCCUCGCCUUCGUCUUCUGCGCCUCCAUCUCCAUCCACUUCCUCCUCCGCUGCCUCUCCUCGCGGCAAACAUCCUCUCCGUCGCCGAGCGCUGUCUCCAGGGGACUCGGCGCCUCCUCCCGCUCCGACGCCGAGGCGGCCGCCCCUUCGGCGACACCCGCGGCGGGCCCGGCGGCAGCGGCAGCGGCAGGGGGCGAGGUGGUCGACGACGAGAAGGAGCGGCUGAUCGCGUCACUUCCGCUCUUCACGAUGGCGUCGGCGCUGGCGGCGCUGCCCAAGAGCUCCCCGGACUGCGCCGUCUGCCUGUCGCCGUUCGUGCCCGACGCCGAGCUGCGGCUGCUCCCGGCGUGCCGGCACGCGUUCCACGCCGCCUGCGUCGACGCGUGGCUCCGCAACACGCCGUCGUGCCCGCUCUGCCGCGCCGCCAUCUCGCUGCCGCACCCGCCUCUCCCCACCGCCUACACCGCCGCCGCGCAGCAGGAGCCGUUGGACGCGAGGAGCAGCAGCAACGCGUCCAGGAGCUUCCGCGUCGAGAUCGGCAGCGUGAGCAACCGACGCUCGUCCGCCGCGGGGGACGACCGCCGCACAUACUCCCUCGGCUCCUUCGACUACCGCGUGGACGAGGAGGUGGAGGCCGUGGUGGCGCGCAUCGCGCGCCCCGCGGCGGCGGCCAAGUCGGCGGUGGCCGGGCAGCGCGCCGCGCCGCAGGGCCCGGGCGAGGCGCUGGCGGAGGCGGCGGGGUCGCGCGGGUGGCUCCGGGAGUACGUGGACCGGCUGGCCUCCUCGGCGUCGUCCCUCUCCGGGCGGUGGAGCGCGCGGUGGAGCCAGAGCCACCACAGCCACCGGCAGGAGGACUCGUGGCGGUGGGACCCCGAGGCGGCGGCCAUGGCGGCGCCGCGGGCGGCGGACGAGGACGAGGCGGGCCUCAUGGGCCUGUACCGCUGGAUCGUAGGCGUAUAA
rnacentral:rRNA from 1 species